UCGCAGGCCCGUGUGCACAUGCAUACCUGAGCUCACACGCAAGCUCACAUGCAGGACCAUGUGCACAUGCACAUACCUGUGCUCAUGAACAUGCACACACACACACCUGAGCUCACACACACACUCACAUGUGCCCAUGCACACAUGUACCUGCACUCACACACGCUCCAUGUGCCCGUGUGCAGAUACCUGAGCUCACACACACGCUCCAUGUGCCCAUGCACACACACGUACCUGCACUCACACAUGCUCAAAUGUGCCCGUGUGCAGAUACCUGAGCUCCCACACACUCACAUGUGCCCAUGCACACACAUGUACCUGCACUCACACAUGCUCACAUGUGCCCGUGUGCACACAGAUACCUGAGCUCACACACACACUCACAUGUGCCCACGCACACACACGUACCUGCACUCACACACACUCACAUGUGCCCGUGUGCAGAUACCUGAGCUCCCACACACACUCACAUGUGCCCGUGUGCAGACACACACCUGAGCUCCCAUACACACUCACAUGUGCCCAUGCACACACAUGUACCUGCACUCACACAUGCUCACAUGUGCCCGUGUGCACACAGAUACCUGAGCUCACACACAUGCUCACAUGUGCCCGUGUGCAGAUACCUGAGCUCACACACUCACAUGUGCCCAUGCACACACACGUACCUGCACUCACACAUGCUCACAUGUGCCCGUGUGCAGACACACACCUGAGCUCACACACAUGCUCACAUCUGCCCGUGCACACACGCGUACCUGCACUCACACACGCUCACAUGUGCCCGUGUGCAGAUACCUGUGCUCACACACAUGCUCACAUGUGCCCGUGCACACACGCGUACCUGCACUCACACACGCUCACAUGUGCCCGUGUGCAGAUACCUGAGCUCCCACACACUCACAUGUGCCCAUGCACACACAUGUACCUGCACUCACACACGCUCACAUGUGCCCGUGUGCACACAUGCAUAUUGUGCUCGUGAACAUGCUAACACACACAUGUGCUCACACGCAUGCACCUGUGUUCACACGCUCACACAUGCCCAUGUGCACACAUGCGUACCUGUGCUCACGCACGCACGCCUGCCUGCCGCCUGCCUACCCCUGCUCACGAUGCUCAGGGACACUGGGCCUCCAGGGCCUCCAGGGCCUCCAGGGCCCCCAUAUCUUCGCUGCUCCUCCUCUGCCUGACCCGGAAACACUGCGUGAGGACAGGAAGAUGCCGUCUCCCCUGCUGCCCCCGGGGUCAGGGGCACGAAGGCUGCACCGUGGUGGGGCCAGUGCCCAAGACACAUGCAAGCCACAGCCUCAGAUGGAGUGGGCUGCAGCCCACUGGUCACCUUGCAGCCCAGGGGUAACCGCUGGCAGCCGCCCCCCACUCCAGCCUGUCCAGGACCCCACAGUUCCUCCAACCCUGGGGCCACAGAAGCCCCCUCAGAUGUCCAGGUCACACCAUGGCUGGCCCCACGGGGCACAGGCACCCACCCCAGGGGGACAGGACACGGCGCCCCCAUGGGGCACAGGCACCCACCCCAGGGGACAGGACACGCGCCUCCCCACGGGGCACAGGCACCCAAACCAGGGGGACAGGACACGCGCCCCCCACGGGGCACAGGCACCCACCCCAGGGGACAGGGACACGCGCCCCCCCACAGGGCACUGGCACCCACCCCACGGGGACAGGACACGGCGCCCCCCACCGGGGCACAGG
rnacentral:lncRNA from 1 species